rnacentral:rRNA from 1 species
AACGAACGCUGGCGGCGUGCUUAACACAUGCAAGUCGAACGGAAAGGCCCUGCUUUUGUGGGGUGCUCGAGUUGCGAACGGGUGAGUAACACGUGAGUAACCUGCCCUUGACUUUGGGAUAACUUCAGGAAACUGGGGCUAAUACCGGAUAGGAGCUACUGCUGCAUGGUGGGGGCUGGAAAGUUUCGGUGGUUGGUGUUGGAAUCGCGGCUUAUGGGGUUGUUGGGUGGGUAGUGGCUUAGCAAGGCUAGGACCCGUAGCAGGCCUGCGAGGGUGACCGGCCACGCUGGAAUGGGAAUACGGCCCGGACCCCUACGGUACGCAGCGGAGCGGAAUAGUGUACAAUGGGCGGAACCAUGAUGCAGCAACGCAGCGUGGGGGAUGAGGGCCUUCGGGUUGUAUUCCGCUUCCGCCUGUGACGAAGCGUGAGUGACGGUAAUGGGUAAAGAAGCACCGGCUAACUACGUG